UGUAAAUACUUACAAUAAGCGGAGACUGUCUACAAUAACUGAAACUUUUGCACACUAUCUUUGAAAAACAUUUAUUUCUGAAAUCAGCUAAGCCGUCAAUUUGACGGGUCUCGUAGAGAGAGAUAUACUACAUACAGAUUU